AGGAUAAACGCUGGCGGCGUGCCUAACACAUGCAAGUCGAACGUCUCUUUCUUCGGGAAGAGGAGUGGCGGACGGGUGAGGAACACGUGGGAACCUGCCCUUUAGUGAGGAAUACCGGCGAGAAAUCGCCGACAAGACCGCAUAGCCCUCUUUGAUGAGAGUCAAAGAAGGAAAGCUUCGCAAGAGGCGCUAGAGGAGGGGCCUGCGUCCGAUUAGCUAGUUGGUGGGGUAAGAGCCUACCAAGGCGUCGAUCGGUAGCUGGUCUGAGAGGACGAUCAGCCACACUGGGAUUGAGAACGGCCCAGACUCCUACGGGGGGCAGCAGUGAGGAAUUUUCGGCAAUGGGGGAAACCCUGACCGAGCAACGCCGCGUGCAGGAAGACGGCCUUGGUUGUAACUGCUUUUCUUUGGGACGAGAACGGACGGUACCAGAGGAAUCAGCCCGGCUCACUACGUGCCAGCAGCCGC
rnacentral:rRNA from 1 species